GACGAACGCUGGCGGCGUGCCUAACACAUGCAAGUCGAGCGGGGACAUUGCGACGGAUAUGAAGUUUUCGGAUGGAUUUGAAGAUGUAAUGUUCUAGCGGCGGACGGGUGAGUAACGCGUGAGCAACCUGUCCCUUACAGGGGGAUAACACAGCGAAAGUUGUACUAAUACCGCAUGAGACCACAGAGCGACAUCGCUUAGGGGUCAAAGGAGUAAUCCGGUAAGGGGUGGGCUCGCGUCCGAUUAGAUAGUUGGUGAGGUAACGGCCCACCAAGUCGACGAUCGGUAGCCGACCUGAGAGGGUGAUCGGCCACAUUGGGACUGAGACACGGCCCAAACUCCUACGGGAGGCAGCAGUGGGGAAUAUUGGGCAAUGGGGGAAACCCUGACCCAGCAACGCCGCGUGAGGGAAGAAGGUUUUCGGAUCGUAAACCUCUGUCCUUGGUGAAGAGAAAGAGACGUAGC
rnacentral:rRNA from 1 species